rnacentral:lncRNA from 1 species
AUGUCAGUGUGGGCUAAGAAGAGACAAAAGCAUUCACAUUUAUUAGAAGAGAUAACCUUGCCCCCUCUUUCACCUCUGCUCAGGAAAUUUUGCUUCUCUUUGCCAGAUAAUCUAAGAGGGAGGACCUGCAUCUCCAUGGCACCUCACUCUGAUUUGCGAGGAUUCGACCAGAGAAAUUGUUCUCAAGAGUGUGAAUUAUGUGGCAGCUUCUAUUUUAUGGUACCUCGCUAUCCACUUUGUAAGAGCACUGUCCUAUGAGCAAAAACUGCAGACAUCUUUGAGCGAUAGAAGAGACAACUGAGCUGGGGGCCAGUUCAGUGUGGACCUACAUUUCAACCACCAUGAUGAAGGUUUGGGACUGUUAUGGUCACAUUUGCUUUUUGCUCUUUAUAAUACUGAGAUAUACUUGUGAG